rnacentral:rRNA from 1 species
UGCGCAGGCGGAACUAUAAGUCAGUGGUGAAAUCCCCCGGCUCAACCGGGGAACUGCCAUUGAUACUGUGGUUCUAGAGUACAGUUGGGGUAGGCAGAAUGUGUCAUGUAGCGGUGAAAUGCUUAGAUAUGACACAGAACACCGAUCGCGAAGGCAGCUUACCAAGCUAUUACUGACGCUGAGGCACGAAAGCGUGGGGAGCAAACAGGAUUAGAUACCCUGGUAGUCC